GACGAACGCUGGCGGCGUGCUUAACACAUGCAAGUCGAGCGGUAAGGCCCUUUCGGGGGUACGACGAGCGGCGAACGGGUGAGUAACACGUGGGUGACCUGCCCUCAGCUCUGGGAUAAGCCCGGGAAACUGGGUCUAAUACCGGAUAUGACUUCAUGACGCAUGUUGUGGAGUGGAAAGCCUUGUGCGGCUGAGGAUGGGCCCGCGGCCUAUCAGCUUGUUGGUGGGGUGAGGCCUACCAAGGCGACGACGGGUAGCCGGCCUGAGAGGGCGACCGGCCACACUGGGACUGAGAUACGGCCCAGACUCCUACGGGAGGCAGCAGUGGGGAAUCUUGCGCAAUGGGCGAAAGCCUGACGCAGCGACGCCGCGUGAGGGAUGACGGCCUCGGUGUAACGUCUU
rnacentral:rRNA from 1 species